rnacentral:lncRNA from 1 species
AGGCUGGUACGCGUACUGCCCAGUCCCAUACGCGUAUCACCAGAGGCUUGCUAUUUUGCUUGAUUUUCCAUCCCUCUGGUCAUAUACGUAUGCUACGCGUACUGGGCAGGUCCAUACGCGUAUCAUGUAAGGCCAUACGCGUAUGGACAGCAGGUUCUCCAAAAUUUGAUUUUUUUCUUCCGUUUUCUUGCUCGGGCUCAAUUUCGCAUCUGACGUUUGAUUCCCUGAGCUUCCAAACUAGUUUUUUACCUG